rnacentral:rRNA from 1 species
GUCUUGAAAAUUAAAGAAUGUGGCGGUAUUUUAGUCUAUUCAGAGGAACCUGCCCUAUAAUUGAUAAUCCACGAGUUUAUUUACUUAGUCUUAUGAUUUGCAUAUCGCCGUAGAUUGAAUAUCUUUUAAGAGUUUUUCAAUGUUCAAAAUUUUAGUAUUGUGAAAGGAAUUCAGGUCAAGAUGUAGUUUAUGGUUAAGAAGAGGUGGGUUACAAUAAAUUUAUUUAUGAUGAAUUAAUAAAUGUAGUUUUAUUAUGAAGGUGGAUUUGAAGGUAAUUUUAUUUAAAUAAAUAAAAUGAUUUUAGCGCUAAAAUAUGUACAUAUCGCCCGUCGCUUUCAUUCUAAAGUGGAAUAAGUCGUAACAUAGUAGGGGUACUGGAAAGUGUUCCUAGAAUGGUCAGAUUAGAGCUUGGAAAAGCAUUUUAUUUACAUUAAAAAGUUUAUUGAGUAUUCAAUAUAAUUUGAAUCAAACCAAUUAUUUUAAAAGUUUUAAUUCUUUUUUGUGUUAAAAUAAGUGUAUUUUAUUUAUUAUUAAUGUUUAUGAAAUAAUUCUUUUUAUCAUAGUAUAUUAGUAUUUGUGAAAGAGGUUUUAUUUUAUUUUUCAAAGAAAAGUUUUCUAUUUGUACCUGGGUAUCAGGGANNNNNNNNNNNNNNNNNNNNNNNNNNNNNNNNNNNNNNNNNNNNNNNNCUAUUAUUAUAUUCUUUUUUUUGUGGCAUAAAAAUUGCUAAUAUAGUAAUAGAAAUGAAACAUUAUUCGGUUAUUAAUAUAUCUAGUUUUUUAAGAAAAAAGUUUAAUUUUUUUAUUAAUAAAUGUGUCUAUUUAAUUUUUAAUUAUUAAUUAUUAAUAGAUUAUAAUUUAAGGGAUAAGCUUUAGAUUAAGAUAUUUUUAAAGUAUUUUUUAUGGUUUAUUGGGUAGAAUUGUAAGUAUUUUUCUUUAAAAUUGUGUUGUAACUAAAUUAAUUUUCAUUAUGAUUUAUAUUUAUUUAAGGUAUCUUAUUUAGAUUUAAAUUUCAAUUUUUAAAUUUUAGGAAUUAUGAUAUGAUUAGUAAAAAUUUUCGUUUAGUUGUUUUACUAUUAAAAGGUUGAGUAAAGGAACUCGGCAAAUCAUGUUUUUCACCUGUUUAUUAAAAACAUGGCUUUUUGAUAAUAAUUUAAGGUCUGGCCUGCCCAAUGAAAAAUUAAAUGGCUGCGGUAUAUUGACCGUACAAAGGUAGCAUAAUCAUUAGUUUUUUAAUUGAAAGCUGGAAUGAAAGGUUGGAUGAAAAAACAACUGUCUUUACUUAAAUUUUUUUGAAUCUUAUAUUUAAGUUAAAAAGCUUAAAUUAUAAUAGAAGACGAGAAGACCCUAUAGAGUUUUAUUAAUUUAAUUAAAAGGAUUUUUGGUAUUUAU